rnacentral:rRNA from 1 species
GUGUCAGCCGCCGCGGUAAUACGGAGGGUGCAAGCGUUAUUCGGAUUCACUGGGUUUAAAGGGUGCGUAGGUGGACAGAACAGUCAGUGGUGAAAUCUCCGGGCUUAACCCGGAAAUUGCCGUUGAUACUAUUUGUCUUGAAUAUUGCGGAGGUAAGCGGAAUAUGUCAUGUAGCGGUGAAAUGCUUAGAUAUGACAUAGAACACCAAUUGCGAAGGCAGCUUACUACACAAUUAUUGACACUGAGGCACGAAAGCGUGGGUAGCGAACAGGAUUAGAUACCCUGGUAGUCCACGCCCUAAACGAUGAUUACUCGACAUACGCGAUACACUGUGUGUGUCUGAGCGAAAGCAUUAAGUAAUCCACCUGGGAAGUACGACCGCAAGGUUGAA